rnacentral:rRNA from 1 species
AUUGAACGCUGGCGGCAGGCCUAACACAUGCAAGUCGAGCGGAUGAAGGGAGCUUGCUCCUGGAUUCAGCGGCGGACGGGUGAGUAAUGCCUAGGAAUCUGCCUGGUAGUGGGGGAUAACGUCCGGAAACGGGCGCUAAUACCGCAUACGUCCUGAGGGAGAAAGUGGGGGAUCUUCGGACCUCACGCUAUCAGAUGAGCCUAGGUCGGAUUAGCUAGUUGGUGGGGUAAGGGCCUACCAAGGCGACGAUCCGUAACUGGUCUGAGAGGAUGAUCAGUCACACUGGAACUGAGACACGGUCCAGACUCCUACGGGAGGCAGCAGUGGGGAAUAUUGGACAAUGGGCGAAAGCCUGAUCCAGCCAUGCCGCGUGUGUGAAGAAGGUCUUCGGAUUGUAAAGCACUUUAAGUUGGGAGGAAGGGCAGUAAGUUAAUACCUUGCUGUUUUGACGUUACCAACAAAAUAAGCACCGGCUAACUUCGUG